rnacentral:pre_miRNA from 1 species
AGCUACUUGUUGGAGAAGCAGGGCACGUGCAACUCUCUAGGCUCUCUUAAGCGCCAUUGAACCCUUUGCACGUGCUCCCCUUCUCCAACACGGCUUC